GAGAAGAGAAGAGAAGAGAAGAGAAGAGAAGAAAAAUGAAAAUGCAUGUAAAUCAUUUUACAAAAUAUAAAGCACCAUGGAAAUGUCAAUGCUUUGGUUGAAUGCAUUUUGUCACAUAGAAUGAUCAGAUUAAAAGGAAGUAAUGAGAAUUCACCUGUGACCUAGAGGAUUCAGGAGAAUUGUUGACUGAUUAAUUUUUAAAUGUGUGAUAGCUGAUUUUUUUUCCUUUCUUUACUUCUGCAGGUGUGAAGGUCCAGGUCUUGAAGGCUGUCCCACACCCGGCCCCAAGAUUCCUUCCAUUGCCACUGGAAUUAUAGGUGGCCUUCUCUUACUACUGGUGUUGGGCCUUGGCAUUGGUCUCUUCUUUCGAAGGCGCCAUAUUGUCCGUAAACGCACACUGCGCAGGCUGCUACAGGAAAGGGAGCUUGUUGAACCUCUUACCCCCAGUGGAGAAGCUCCAAACCAGGCUCUUUUGCGGAUCUUAAAGGAGACAGAAUUUAAAAAGCUCAAAGUUCUUGGCUCUGGAGCUUUUGGCACAGUAUAUAAGGUAAGAAGAUCCAGAUAUACAUUAAUAAAGUAGAUAAAAGGAAUCUGAUUAGUCUACCACAUGGACUAUGGAUAGGGACGCAUAUACAUGUAAGAGGUGUUAAAUACCACAAACAAUGGCAGCA